ACAAAAAAGAACUUUGAGUUUUGAAAGAGAAAUUCCUUUCUUUAACGUCAACUUUUCUUCCAAGUAAAUUUAGAUCGAAUAUGAUAUUAAGGAGGGAGUACGAGGUGGGUGGGAUUCAAAGUCUUCGGACUUAAAUUUCAUUCAAAACUUCAGACUUUGAAGCCUUCCACUUCAGGAAGCUUCAAACAUCAAAUUUCAGACAUUUAUCACAAUUGGAAGACUAAACACAUUGGAUCAUGGCAAAAACAUUCAGGUUUGACAAAACAAAAUUGAAGACAUCACCUGAAAAUUAUCACUUCAAAACUCCUCUAAAGGAAAAACUCCAAAAAGAGGAGCAAUGUAUUAUUGACAAUUCAAGAAAAUUGUCCACUACUCCCCAGGCAAAUGCUAUCAAGGAGCAUGCAUCAAUGCUCUUGUAAGCUACUCUCAUGGGGGACAAUCAUUUGACUAAGAAACCAUUCACUUUUUAUGUUCUGUA